UGGGAUCCAAGGUGUGAGCCACAG
rnacentral:misc_RNA from 1 species